AGCGAGGCAAAGCCGCGAGGCGGAGCGAAUCGCUAAAAGCCGUCCCAGUUCGGAUUGCAGGCUGCAACCCGCCUGCAUGAAGUUGGAAUCGCUAGUAAUCGCGGAUCAGCAUGCCGCGGUGAAUACGUUCCCGGGCCUUGUACACACCGCCCGUCACACCAUGAGAGUCGGGAACACCCGAAGUCCGUAGCCUGACCGCAAGGGGGGCGCGGCCGAAGGUGGGUUCGAUAAUUGGGGUGAAGUCGUAACAAGGUACC
rnacentral:rRNA from 1 species